UAAGGCCGAUGGCGACCGGCGCACGGGUGAGUAACACGUAUCCAACCUGCCGAUAACUCGGGGAUAGCCUUUCGAAAGAAAGAUUAAUACCCGAUGGCAUAAUAGAACCGCAUGGUUUGAUUAUUAAAGAAUUUCGGUUAUCGAUGGGGAUGCGUUCCAUUAGGCAGUUGGUGGGGUAACGGCCCACCAAACCUUCGAUGGAUAGGGGUUCUGAGAGGAAGGUCCCCCACAUUGGAACUGAGACACGGUCCAA
rnacentral:rRNA from 1 species